rnacentral:rRNA from 2 species
UGGAUCCAGACUUCGAUCCUGGCUCAGGAUGAACGCUAGCUACAGGCUUAACACAUGCAAGUCGAGGGGAAACGACAUCGAAAGCUUGCUUUUGAUGGGCGUCGACCGGCGCACGGGUGAGUAACGCGUAUCCAACCUGCCCACCACUUGGGGAUAACCUUGCGAAAGUAAGACUAAUACCCAAUGACGUCUCUAGAAGACAUCUGAAGGAGAUUAAAGAUUUAUCGGCGAUGGAUGGGGAUGCGUCUGAUUAGCUUGUUGGCGGGGUAACGGCCCACCAAGGCGACGAUCAGUAGGGGUUCUGAGAGGAAGGUCCCCCACAUUGGAACUGAGACACGGUCCAAACUCCUACGGGAGGCAGCAGUGAGGAAUAUUGGUCAAUGGACGAGAGUCUGAACCAGCCAAGUAGCGUGCAGGAUGACGGCCCUAUGGGUUGUAAACUGCUUUUAUAAGGGGAUAGAGUGAGUCUCGUGAGACUUUCUGCAUGUACCUUAUGAAUAAGGACCGGCUAAUUCCGUGCCAGCAGCCGCGGUAAUACGGAAGGUCCGGGCGUUAUCCGGAUUUAUUGGGUUUAAAGGGAGCGUAGGCCGGAGAUUAAGCGUGUUGUGAAAUGUAGACGCUCAACGUCUGCACUGCAGCGCGAACUGGUUUCCUUGAGUACGCACAAAGUGGGCGGAAUUCGUGGUGUAGCGGUGAAAUGCUUAGAUAUCACGAAGAACUCCGAUUGCGAAGGCAGCUCACUGGAGCGCAACUGACGCUGAAGCUCGAAAGUGCGGGUAUCGAACAGGAUUAGAUACCCUGGUAGUCCGCACGGUAAACGAUGGAUGCCCGCUGUUGGUCUGAAUAGGUCAGCGGCCAAGCGAAAGCAUUAAGCAUCCCACCUGGGGAGUACGCCGGCAA